rnacentral:rRNA from 1 species
AGUCGCCGCGGUAAUACAGAGGGUGCAAGCGUUAAUCGGAAUUACUGGGCGUAAAGCGCGCGUAGGUGGUUCGCCAAGUUGGAUGUGAAAUCCCCGGGCUCAACCUGGGAACUGCAUCCAAAACUGGCGAGCUAGAGUAUGGUAGAGGGUGGUGGAAUUUCCUGUGUAGCGGUGAAAUGCGUAGAUAUAGGAAGGAACAUCAGUGGCGAAGGCGACCACCUGGACUGAUACUGACACUGAGGUGCGAAAGCGUGGGGAGCAAACAGGAUUAGAUACCCCCGUAGUCCCUGUCUCUUAUACA